UACGUAGGGGGCAAGCGUUGUCCGGAUUUAUUGGGCGUAAAGAGCGUGUAGGCGGUCAGGUAGGUCCGUUGUGAAAACUCGAGGCUCAACCUCGAGACGCCGAUGGAAACCAUCUGACUAGAGUCCGGAAGAGGAGAGUGGAAUUCCGUGGUGUAGCGGUGAAAUGCGCAGAUAUCAGGAAGAACACCCGUGGCUAAGGCGGCUCUCUAGUACGGUACUGACGCUGAGACGCGAAAGCGUGGGGAGCGA
rnacentral:rRNA from 1 species